AUGCUCUCCAGGAUCUCUCAACUCGGGGCGCGGCUCGUGCGCGAGACCAGAGCUGCAGGAAACUUGUCAAGCCAUAGCAGCAAUUACUACCGAGGUCUCAGCCGGCAUUCAGCCCCAGCGAAGAGCAUCCUCUUCUCCACCGCAACAACAAGUAGUCAUCAUGAUGAAGGCGGUGACGACAAGGAGAAAAUCUCUGUAACAUUUGUGAACAAGGAUGGCACUGAGAAAACGAUAAGUGUUCCUGUCGGAAUGUCCAUGUUAGAAGCUGCUCAUGAAAAUGACAUAGAACUUGAAGGAGCAUGUGAAGGGUCGCUCGCAUGUUCCACUUGUCAUGUCAUAGUUAUGGAUGUAAAGGACUAUAACAAGCUAGAGGAUCCAACAGAUGAGGAAAAUGAUAUGCUUGACCUUGCAUUUGGGCUGACAGAAACGUCCCGUCUUGGCUGCCAAGUAAUAGCGAAGCCCGAACUUGACGGCGUCCGACUGGCGUUACCUGCCGCUACACGAAACUUCGCGGUAGAUGGGUUCGUGCCAAAGCCACACUGA
rnacentral:rRNA from 1 species